CGUGGCCAGCAGAGGGCAGCCCAGGAAAGGCCCGGGUCUAUCCGGGACAGCCACCCGCGAGCGUCCAGGGACCCUCGCCGCACCCUCCAGCUGACCCCACCUUGCAGUAAGGGAUCGGAGCGGGAACAUGGUCACCAGCUCUCUAAAGCUCAGUAACAAAAACCACCCACAAGUAGACACAGCGACCGUUUCCAGAGCUUUCAUCUGUCUUUCCUGUGACCUCCGUGGCCGCGUGGGGUGACUGCGCCUGUCUGCCAAGAGGCGGAGACAGACUCGGACUGGGGACCGAGCGCCUGCGGCCGGAGCUGCAGGGCAGGCUUUGGGAACUCGUGACCCAGAGUCCGAGCGCCUCGGCCCCGUGUCCCCGGGGAGGGACGGGUGAACACCAGCACCCACCCCGGGGCUGAGCACCCAGUCACCAGGCUCCCAAUGCCGGGGCCGCCUGGGGCGCGCGUUCACACCAGCUGCGCGCACAGCGCUUUGGAGUCAUUCCCGGAGUUGCUGUAUAUCCGGGGUCCAUGCCCCAAGUUCCCCACCACAUAGUGGGACGUUCUCAGAGCUCAGACUGGGUUCCAGGGAAAGGGCACCGUCCAGGGCGGGUCCUGGGAGGGACGCCCUCGCACUGUGCAUUUCCAGUUGGUGCUGGAACGCAGCCUGAACUCCUGGGCGUCAGGCUCAGCUGUGUGCCCGCGAGUGAACCCCUCCGUGUAAUCGGUGGUCUGCACCCCGCACCCUGCGCGCCAGGCCAGCGUCUGAAGCUCACGUCACCACAGCAGAAAGAAAGCGGCCAGGAAGAGGGGGUCCAUCAGGAGGCAGAUGGGAGCUGACCCAGGAGACAGAGGAAGAGGAAGUAGCUGUGCUGACCCGGGACUCGCUCAUGUUUGGGACACGUCUAAACUCCGCAGAGUCAGGAUCAAUUAUGGCUCUGUCUCCCAUCAGUCUGAACACGAAACACAUCACCUGCUAAACACAAACACGUCCCUGAGGGCACUGCCGGGGAGGGCCGGGGAGGGCCGCCCGAGGAGGAGUCCAGCCCCAGACCCGGGAACUGCGAGUGUGACCUUGUUUGGGAAAAGGGUCUUUGCAGAGGGGAUUACAUCGCAGAUCCAAGAUGAGGUCAUCCUGGCUUCCGAGUGGCCCUAAAUCCAGUGACAAGAGUCCUUACCAAAGAGAGACAGAGGGACAUCAGACAGAAUGGUUGAGGGGAGGGGGGACGAGGCAUGACAGAGGGACAUCAGAC
rnacentral:lncRNA from 1 species